rnacentral:rRNA from 1 species
UACGGAGGGUGCGAGCGUUGUCCGGAAUCACUGGGCGUAAAGGGCGCGUAGGCGGCGCGGGAAGUCAUCGGUGAAAGUUCAGGGCUCAACUCUGAAUCGGCCGGUGAUACUCUCGUGCUUGAGCACUGUAGAGGCAGGUGGAAUUCCGGGUGUAGCGGUGGAAUGCGUAGAGAUCCGGAAGAACACCGGUGGCGAAGGCGGCCUGCUGGGCCAGUAGC